GUAACAAACGAUCUUCAAGAAAUGGAAAGUAUAACACGAUCCUAUUUUCAGAAUUUAUUUAAUACAUCGAGUCAGGUGAAUUUUGAUAUUUUACUUAUGGGAAUGUGUUUCUGAAGAAGAUAAUCGAAAACUUACAAAACCAUAUACAAAAGAACAGGUGAGAGAGGUACUAUUUAAAAUUCAUCCCACGAAGGCACCCGGUGAAGAUGGCUUUCCAGCUCUAUUCUAUCGAAAAUGUUGGCACUUCAUUGGAGAGGAGGUUAUGGCAUUCUGUUUACUUCAUUUAGAUGGCAGAAUGGAGGUUAGUUCAAUUAAUUUAACGCAUAUUGUUCUUAUCCCAAAAAUUAGUAGUAAUCCUUCUAAUAUGACACAUUUUAGGUCAAUCAAUUUAUGUAAUGUUAUUUAUAAAAUCAUGGCUAAGGCUAUUGCAAACAGAUUUAGAGGUAUUAUUGAUAAAUGCAUCGACAGUGCGCAAAGUGCUUUUGUGCCAGGAGAUUAAUUUCAGACAAUGUAUUGCUGGCCUAUGAAAUACUGCAUACACCGAGACAAAAGAAUGGGGAAGAAGAGUUUUAUAGCAGUUAAACUUGACAUGAGUAAAGCAUACGAUAGGAUUGAAUGGGGUUUUAUUCGGGAAAUAAUGUUUGAGGAUGGGCUUUGCCAAAAAAUGGAUAGAUUCUCUCAUGAAUUGCAUGUCUACUAUUUCUUAUCAAGUUGUGGUCAAUGGUAGUAUUGGAAAAACUUUUAAUCCGAAAAGGGGACUGAGACAAAGGGAUCCACUGAGUCCAUUUCUGUUUCUAAUUUGUGGAGAGGGAUUAUCUAGUCUCAUGAGAAUUGCUUCAAAUAAAGGAGUAAUAAAAGGAGUCAAGGCAAGCAAAAGUGGCCCACAAGUAACACACUUAUUAUUUGCAGACGACUGCAUUUCAUUCGAGGAAGCGUCAAGAAAAGGAGCAACAACAAUUAAGGAGAUUCUGAAGGAGUAUAAGCGAUGUUCAGGUCAGUGCGUGAAUUUCGCUAAAUCUACCGUUUUCUUUAGUAAAAACACGUCACAGGAAUAAAGGAGUUCAGUUGUUCAUUUGCUGGGUGUUCAGAGUUCAGAUGAACCUGAACGUUAUUUGGGCUUGCCGAAUAUGGUUGGACGAAAAAAGAAACAAAUCUUUUAGGAUCUUGAAAGAUAGAUUGAAGAAGCUUAUUGAGAAUUGGAGUAAUCGGUUUUUGUCGCAAGGGGGAAAAGAGGUUUUCAUAAAAGCUAUUCUUCAAGCCAUACCGACAUAUUCAAUGGCAUGCUUUUUAUUACCAAAAUCACUAUGCGAAGAUCUGGAAAGUAUUGUUGCAAAAUAUUGGUGGCAGAAAGGUUGUGAAAAAAGGGGUAUACAUUGGUGCUCGUAGAAAAACCUUUGUUUUUUAAAGGAAAACGGAGGAAUGGGUUUUCGAAAGCUUAGCCAGUUUAAUAUCGCCUUAUUAGCCAAGCAGGGAUGGCGUUUAAUAAAUUAUCCAAAUUCCCUUUUAGCAAGAGUGCUUAAAGCUAAAUAUUAUCCACGGACGUGUUAUCUAAAUGCACAGUUAGAAAACUUACCAUCUCUUACCUGGAGGAGUAUUUGGGCUGCGAAAGGAACCCUUCUUAAGGGGCUAAGAUAGAGAGUGGGGAAAGGAACCGCAAUAUCUAUUUGGAAUGAUAGAUGGAUACCAGGGAUUGAACCUGAGAUAUGGCAUAACAGAGAAAGAAACGAGGGGUUAAACUUAGUAUCAGACCUAAUUGACAGCACAACCAAGACGUGGAAAAUAGAAACAAUUACAACUACCUUCCAAUGGGAUGUCGCUCAAAGAAUUCUGCAGAUCCCUCUUGCAAGAACAGACUGUAAGGACAUGCAGGUGUGGAAAGAUGAACAUUCUGGUGAGUUCUCAGUUCGGAGCGCCUAAAAACUAUUACAAAAAGCUAGCCUGGAUCCUAGUAGUUACUUAGUACAGACCGAAACUAAAGAAUUUUACAAGAACUUAUGGAAUUUACAACUACCACAAAAAAUUUUAAUCCUUAUAUGGAGGAUUUCUUGGGAACUAUAUUCCAUCCCUAGUUAAUCUGAAAUAUAAAAGAGUGACUGCAAAUGCCAGAUGCCCUCGUUGCGAAUCUGAGGAGGAAGAUAGCCAUCACGUGUUUCAGAAAUGUCUAUAAGCAUUGAAGUAUGGAUUAGACUCAAUAUGACGUGGGUAAUAGAAUAUGCAGAUCAGAAUGUUUGGAGUUGGCUCACCUGGGUCUUUGGUAGGGGUACAAAGGAGCAGACUCGGUUGUUUUGCUGUGCUCUAUGGGUUAUAUGGGGCUCGCGGAAUCAGAUGAUACAUGAGAAGAAAGCCACAUCAGGAUUAGAUCUCUCACAGAAAAUACAGAGUUAUCUAAUGGAAGUUGAAGGAAUUAGGGGAAGUAAGAUUACUCACGCGCUCACUGAAGCUGAAUGACAAGACAAAAAGACAUCAAUGGAGAUAAUACAGUUUGAUGCAGCCUUUGAUAUUAGGAAUUUCAGUUCGUCGUCAGGAAUGGUGGUUCGGGAUCAAGAUGGUGUGAUUAGAGCCUCAAAGUCGACUUUGCAGUCCAACAUUUCGUCUCCGUUUAUUGCCGAAGCAUAUGCAUGUUUAGAGGCAACCAAGUUAGGUAUCAGCAUGGGGAUAGAAUUAGUCACGAUUAUGGGGGAUUCGAAAAUAGUUAUUAACAAAUGUCAAUCAACAACAAGGGACAAAUCAAUUAUCGGAACGAUUAUUCAAGAUAUUCGGAGUAAUAGCUCUCGCCUUCAGAAAAUUGUUUUCAGAUUUAUUCAAAGAACAGAAAAUGUCCAAGCUCAAAAUCUUGCAAACGAUGCACUAAAAAAGGGGGAAGAGAUGUACCUGAUUGUUCCAAGAGCAAUACGGGUACAAAAUCCAGA
rnacentral:lncRNA from 1 species